rnacentral:rRNA from 1 species
UACGGGGGGAGCAAGCGUUGUUCGGAUUUACUGGGCGUAAAGGGCGCGUAGGCGGUCAGCACAAGUCAGUUGUGAAAUCUCCGAGCUUAACUCGGAAAGAUCAACUGAUACUGUGCGACUAGAGUGCGGAAGGGGCAACUGGAAUUCUUGGUGUAGCGGUGAAAUGCGUAGAUAUCAAGAGGAACACCUGCGGCGAAGGCGGGUUGCUGGGCCGACACUGACGCUGAAGCGCGAAAGCCAGGGGAGCGAACGGG